rfam:Streptococcus ratti FA-1 = DSM 20564 Contig176, whole genome shotgun sequence.
CAAUAAUCAUGAUGGUCAAAGCUCAUGAGAAUUGUAGGUCUUUUUGACGUACAAUUUUCGAGGGUUU